GAUGAAGAACGUAGCGAAAUGCGAUAAGUAAUGUGAAUUGCAGAAUUCAGUGAAUCAUCGAAUCUUUGAACGCACAUUGCGCCCUCUGGUAUUCCGGGGGGCAUGCCUGUUCGAGCGUCAUUAUAACCACUCAAGCUCUCGCUUGGUAUUGGGGUUCGCGGUUCCGCGGCCCCUAAAAUCAGUGGCGGUGCCUGUCGGCUCUACGCGUAGUAAUACUCCUCGCGAUUGAGUCCGGUAGGUCUACUUGCCAGCAACCCCCAAUUUUUACUGGUUGACCUCGGAUCAGGUAGGGAUACCCGCUGAACUUAAGCAUAUCAAUAAGCGGAGGA
rnacentral:misc_RNA from 1 species